rnacentral:lncRNA from 1 species
GGACUUUUCAUUUUAAACAGUAGAGACCCUGCAGCUGAUGCAAAAUGCUCCCGUUCAAGUUUAACACCCUUUCCUGGGGACCAGACACAGAGCACCCCAGCUACAAAGUGCCUCUGUGGAUAUCAUAGAGACAGCCGGAGGGGAAAAGUCUGACUGUCCUUCUGCAGCUAGCAGUUUCUGCACUCUACAGCAUUUGGCUUUCCACUCAGCUAUUUCAGCUUUUUGAGGAUUUCAGAAAAAGAUGGAGUCUUAUCCAAACAUACUCAGACAUUUUUAGACCAUCUAUUUUAGCUACUUCUUUCCCUGGCAAUAACCUCAGAAAAACUCCUGUUGGAAGCACUACUGAUGCUAACAGUACGUCCACUAAAAUAUCUUUGGUGAAAUGGUGUACAUUAGGGAUGAGUCAAAAUGUUCAACCGCACAAGGUGAUGAGUGCUUCUGUUUAGCCACCUGGGAUCCAAGAAUACCUGGUCAAGUAUUUUGUGAGCUUCUGCCUGCUUAAACUGGCCGACAUGGGGAAGAAAACCACCAGAGAUUCAAA